GAGACAUGAGGAUGAGGAACAAAUAAAGAAAAUUUUUCACUCAAAAGCCUCCCAUAGAUUGUCUGAUAUGUUUAAUGAAGCUCGAAAAGUAGUUAAAGGCCACUUUGGGUUGGACAAGAUGUGUGGAACGAAUUGGUAGCACAUUAGAAUUCAGCUGCUUUUCGAUUAAAGUCUACACAAGCCUCACUAAAUCGAGCAUCUAAUAAGGGUGAGACUCUUCAUACAGGUGGCUCAAUUACAGUUCAUGAUCAUGCCAAGCGCAUGAAUUUGUUCGCUCAGUGCAUAUUGAUGAGGUCUUUCAACAGACCCAUAUACGAAAAGAAACGGGAGAGUUUGUUGAUGAAAGAUCUAGCAAAACAUAUCAUGCUUCGGCUUGUAUGCGUUUCUUCUAUAAAGGAGAGAAAAAAACACAGAAAAGGGGGAUGAAGGGGAGGAGGCAGUAGCCAAGAGAGGGAAGAACGAAAAACAGAGUGCAGUAGCCGAGAUGGGGUAAGGCUCCACUGACUUUGGCGAUUGAUUUUUUUUCUCCACAAGUAGUUUCCUUCCGUUCAUCUUCAAGUGAUAUGAAACGCAAGCAGAGCAGGGAGGAGACUGAGCCGUGAGCAACAACAAAAGCCGAGAGUAAUAGUUGUAAAAUUACAACUUCAGAUUCACAACCACAAAGGUAUGAUUUAGAUAUUCAUCGUCAAGUUUUUGAAUAUUUUGUUACUUCCCGUUUCACUAUUGCGUGUUCAGGUAUUCAUUACUUUUUUUUUUGUUUCUUCUUCGAAUAUUUUAUUACUUCCCAUUUCACUAUUGCGUGUUUAGCUUUUCUAGUCCAAAGCCUGGAUCUAAAGCCUGCACACAUCAUUGAAAAUAAAUUGGCAAAAUAUGGUGACGAGACAACU